UUCAUAAACAGUUAGAGCAUUGAUCAUCAGUUGCUGAUAACCGGAUGUCACAAAACGUGAUUCAUAAACACUUUUUAGCGCUAAACAGUUGAUCAUCUCUUUAUUAAAUCCUCGGAAAGUUAUGGAGCCGUGGACCCUUCUUUAUCUGUUUAUUAUCCCUAAAAUACAAGAUGGCGGUCACAAAACAGCUGAUUUUGACAAGACAGCAUUUCACAAAUUAGUGCAAACGUCGAUGAGACUUGUAUCGUAAUUUAGUGAUUUGGGUGUUCUUUUUGUUUAAAAAACGUCUAAAUUUAAUAAAUGAGUGGUUUAAUAUGUGUAAAUAAGGAGAUAAACCAUUACAUACCUAGAUAAAGUGCGCAAAUAGCGGGAAACCUAGAUAUUGUGCCUUUGCUAGGAGUUGUUUGCACGAUUGUAUGUCGCAUUCAUCAAGAUGCAAGCAAUUUAUGCGAUACGAACUGUUAUACCAUAAGACUAGACUUCUACGACUGGGGCACCGGCGUCGGAUAAAGCACCUCACCAACCUAUAUACCUAUCAUAAAAGAAUGAAAACUACUCCCGGAACUCCUACAGCGCAAAGAAUACAACCAACUUCAUUUGAUGGCGGUGUGCAGGCCGGUUAGAUGCCAGAAGAGUGUGGCCUCCGGAUUGUGUAGCCAGCUCCGGACAAAUAGCUGAUGAUGGAAUACUCACAACCUGAAAAGAACACAGUUUCAAUUAAUAUACUCAUUGAAUCAACCUAUAUCAUCUUUUAUUUUAAGCUUAAGUAUAACAUCCUAAUGGAUAUGGCAAUAUGGAAUAAUUUCCAUAUUGUUGUGGUAACUAUAUGGAAUAAUGGAUCUCCAUCCAGGCAGAGAUUCUGUUGUUGUUUGUCAAUACCAUAGCUAUCUCACAGCAAAACUAAAGAAUUACAUACAUGUCUGUUUUGUUCAUACAUACUUCUACCUAGCGUACCUACAGACACUGUUUCUUACCGGUAAUUGUAGUUUGAUAAAAUGAAAUUAUACAAUAAUAACAAAGUUAUGAAUUGAAACGCUAAUAUACUUUUAAACAAAUAAUUAACCUACAAUGGUGUGUUAUGAUUGAUAAGUACCUUAUGUAAAAAUCAUAUUGAUAUCUUUGUUGAUUUAAAAUUAUAUAACCUACCAACAGCGACACUCCUGUGAAUAAUGAACAUUUCUGCCUCAUUAUGAAUUGUGCAGUUUGCCUUUUAAUGCGGCUAUUGGCUGAGAUGUUUCACUGCAAACAUUGUCAUUGUCAAGUUGCAUAUAUAAGCGCUUAUCUUUAACUCUGCGCCCUAGGCGAACAAAAAAGGUUUUUAAGAUAAAUCACCACUUCACUGAUAAAUUGGUUCCAUCGUGUGGUUGGUUAAGUAUUGUAAGAGUAAAAACACCAGAGCACCACUUAUUAACAAGAUUUAUUAGGGAAUCACAAUAUGAGAGUAUAGAUCUGAAAAUAAUAUGCGAGGACGCUCUCGCGUAAAACCAAUCUAAGAUGGACGACCACCUCUAGUGAUGUGACAUUGUCGGUUAUCGUAGUGAUGUUAAACACCGAUGGAUGACGAUCUCGCCGUUCAGCUCGGCCAUCUUCUGACCCGACCUACGUCCCGUCAGGUCACUGUUAUCAAGGCCGCCACUGAAGACUGCCGCAACCAACGCAGUCGCAGCAAGCUGGGCCUUCACCAGGUGGCGGUAGCCUCCACCAGUUCAUUACUGGUUGGCUCCUCCGUUGAGUUGGCUCCUCAACUGGUGGGAGGCUAACGUGGGACACGUCUCAUGCAUGUGCAUAGGUGCCCUCCGAUACAGCACAUGUAAACAGUACAAACUCUUAUUCACGAAACUCUGUAACAUACAUGUGAAAAGCCUCAGUUCCUUAAUAUAACCAAGGCGUUAUAAUUCACCCUAGCGCCAUCGACAGGCUUUGACAUUAGCAUACCACAAUGUUGUUCAAAAUAAUCAUGAUAAGAUUUCGACGAUAUAUUAAUGCGCAAAUGGCACAGUUAGACCCUUUGAUCACAGGUCCGGCUUGAUAGCCAUAAAAUUAUACCGUAAUAACCAUCACAGUCAAAAGGUCUACUUCUGUAAAUACAUAAGAAAGAUGCAGUUCUUAUUGGACAGAACUCAUGAGCGCUCUUUAGCAACAUUGUUAAUAAAUUACAUUAUCACCCUUAAUGACGACGUAAUCAAGUAGGUACUUCAUGUCACCGCUUUCUAGCAUCGUGACUAAUGGCAGUUAACCACAGAUUUGAUUAUUGGACAAAAAGAAAACAUUACCGUGUUAAAAUACCACAUGCAGGCUAGAAUACCACUGCCCUUGUAGGGGCAACGACCGUAGAAGUCAGCCCUUCACGAUAAGGCUGUCACGGAGCCCAUUGCACGCACUCGUUCUACUGGGCAUCUUGAACCGGCACUACCUCAACCUCUACUGGGUCCGGAACUGCGCCAGCAAUCUCUAAAAGGUAUUAGUGCAAGCAACCCUUUCUAGGUAACCUUGAGAUCAUCAGUAUUAAGGUCAUUUAAAUAUCCUUUUGUAAACAAAGUCUCAAGCCAACCUCUCAAGGUCAACAACAAAUAGUACGAUAUAGAUAAAACAGUUAUCGGUAGUAGAAAUAAUGGUCCUCUUAAGGAUAAUCUCAUAUCACAUACAAUGGACCGCCUCUUAAGGCCUACACUGCAGAUACCAGGAACAAACUAGCAUCUUAAGAAUAGUACUAUGUUAUAAGCAAUGGACCGCCUCUUAAGGCCUACACUGCGGAAACCAAAAACAACUAGCCUCUUAAGGAUAGUAUUGUCAUCAGCAAUGGACCGCCUCUUAAGGCCUACACUGCAGAAACCAAAAACAACUAGCCUCUUAAGGAUAGUUAAUACUAUGACAUAAUUGUCAUCAGCUAUGGACCGCCUCUUAAGGCCUACACUGCAGAAACCAAAAACAACUAGCCUCUUAAGGAUAGUUAAUACUAUGACAUAAUUGUCAUCAGCAAUGGACCGCCUCUUAAGGCCUACACUGCAGAAACCAAAAACAACUAGCCUCUUAAGGAUAGUAAUGUCAUCAGCAAUGGACCGCCUCUUAAGGCCUACACUGCAGAAACCAAAAACAACUAGCCUCUUAAGGAUAGUUAAUACUAUGACAUAAUUGUCAUCAGCAAUGGACCGCCUCUUAAGGCCUACACUGCAGAAACCAAAAACAACUAGCCUCUUAAGGAUAGUAAUG